CAGCAUCUCCACCGACCUCCAGUAAAUAAUCGAACUACUUCUAAGCGUGUAUAGCGCAGAUAUCUCACCGACUCCAUGUAAAUGAACACUAAGCUUUAGCGGCUGAUAGAGCAGCACAUCUCCACCACGACUCCAUGUAAAUAAUCCCUACUUUGAGCGGGUAUAGAGCAGCAUAUCUCACACCAGACUCCAUUGUAAAUAAUCAAUACUUUUAGCGUUGUA